rnacentral:lncRNA from 1 species
GCUCCCUGUUUCUGUUAAGAUUAAAAUCACCAACUGUGGCAGUGCCACAAAUCUAGAUAUUCCAUCUUGCCCAGCUGUUAGGCAAAAGAAGUAUUGUGGUCUACAUCUUCCAUGCUUUCCUGAAAAUUAAGCUGAGCCUGAUAGUCUGAAUGGUAAUCCUGAGCUUUUCCACAUUUCUGCCCAGGAAAGUUCAAGAAGUCUCUCCCAGGAAAAGAAGGCUCUCUGGAACCAAUCUCUCCAAAAGCCAGGAAAGGAAGGCCAACUACUCACCCACCCAAGGCAAC